UGGGGAAUAUUGGACAAUGGGCGCAAGCCUGAUCCAGCCAUGCCGCGUGAGUGACGAAGGCCUUAGGGUUGUAAAGCUCUUUUGGCGGGGAAGAUAAUGACGGUACCCGCAGAAUAAGCUCCGGCUAACUUCGUGCCAGCAGCCGCGGUAAUACGAAGGGAGCUAGCGUUGUUCGGAAUCACUGGGCGUAAAGCGCACGUAGGUGGGCAGUUAAGUCAGGGGUGAAAGCCCCGAGGCUCAACCUCGGAAUUGCCUCUGAUACUGGCUGUCUAGAGUUCGAGAGAGGUGAGUGGAAUUCCUAGUGUAGAGGUGAAAUUCGUAGAUAUUAGGAAGAACACCGGUGGCGAAGGCGGCUCACUGGCUCGAUACUGACACUGAGGUGCGAAAGCGUGGGGAGCAAACAGGAUUAGAUACCCGUGUAGUCCCUGAGCGGGCUGGCAAGGCGCAU
rnacentral:rRNA from 1 species